UACGGAGGGUGCAAGCAUUAAUCGGAUUUAUUGGGCGUAAAGGGUCCGUAGGUGGUUUAGUAAGUUGGCAGUUAAAUCUCAUCGGCUUAACCUUUGAACUGCUGCCAAUACUGCUGAACUCAGAGGGCGUUAGAGGCUAACGGAACUGACCAAGUAGGGGUGAAAUCCGUUGAUAUGGUCGGGAACACCAAAAGCGAAGGCAGUUAGCUGGGGCGACCCUGACACUGAGGGACGAAAGCGUGGGGAGCAAAAAGG
rnacentral:rRNA from 1 species